CAAUUAUACAUUAGGUCUAAAACAAAACUCAGGCCCUGGGAAUUCCAAGCUUUGCCCUGGAGUGAAGCCCAUUCCCUUGCUGGGAUUGUUCUGGGGACAGAAGCUGCAUAGCUCACUGUCCUGUGGAGUUGAGGGAAGCUAUCUUUCCACACUGGUCCCAGCAAGGGGUGCAGGGCCGGGAGCCUAGGCUGGGAGAGUGAAGCUGGGCCAGAUAGACUCCAACAGUGACAGUCCCUGGGCUCACAGGAGGUGGCUGGCAGGACCAAGUAGGUGGCCUAAUGCCUGGCAUCAAGGUGGGGCGCUCCCGGGCUCAGCUGCCACUGAAGGUGGAGGUAGAAGAGGUCACGGUGCCUGAGGGCUUUGUCCAGAAGCUCAAUGACCACCUGCUCUUGGUGUACACUGGCAAGACCCGCCUGGCUCGGAACCUGCUGCAGGAUGUGCUGAGGAGCUGGUAUGCCCGACUUCCUGCUGUGGUGCAGAAUGCCCACAGCCUGGUGCGGCAAACUGAGGAGUGUGCUGAAGGCUUCCGCCAAGGUGAGGGGCUUCCUCUGGGGGGGUCAGGGCACUGGGAGCGAGUAUUCUGUCACUUGUGGGUUUGAGGCCAGGGUCAUCUGCAGGCUUGGCACAAGCUCGAGAUAUUCGGCCUCUGGGAACAGAAGCCUACUGUCUGUCCUCUCCAGGGUCUCACAUUUAGGGGAAAGCUACAUCUGAGGACAAAAUUUUCAUGAUGGGAAAGGCCCUCCAGCCCUAACAGGAAGCAGAGAGGGGAAGGGACUCAACCCAUGGCUGAGUUCCAAGGAAGUCUGAGCUGGGCAGGGUCCCCAGUGUGUGGCGUCACAGCUCCCUANGUGCCGACUAUGCUGGGUGUGGUGUUGGUUGCUUCCUGCACAUUGGUCCUCAGGCAGUCCUGGGAAGUGGGUUACUCCCGGCUCCAGCCGGCACUAGAAUCUGGCUUCUUUACCAUUACACUGGCUCAGCAGCACGUCUUGGCACUUCAUGCAAUCUCCAGAUGGGGUGCUGAGUAUCUGGGCCCAGGCACGUCACUCCCCUCUGCCCCACCUCAGGAAGCCUGCCUCUGCUGGGCCAGUGCCUGACCUCAUACUGGGAGCAGAAGAAGCUCAUGGCUCCAGGCUGUGAGCCCCUGACUGUGCGGCGUAUGAUGGAUGUCCUGGCCCCCCACGUGCAUGGCCAGAGCCUGGCUGGGGCAGGCGGUGGAGGCUUUCUCUAUCUGUUGACCAAGGAGCCACAGCAAAAGGAGGCCUUGGAGGCGGUGCUGGCCAAGACCGAGGUACUGAUGGGGCUGGGGUUGGUAAAG
rnacentral:lncRNA from 1 species